CAGUUGGCGACACCAUGGUUCCCCCAUCAAUGAAUUGCGUGUAGCAUUCAAUGGCAGUUGCAAAAUCCUUAGCUCGAAAAGCAGUAUCUCCAUGCUUCUUAGAAUUCAAUGUCUCCUGCAUUUGACUGGUCCACAUUUGAAAAGAAAGCUCAUUGGCAAUCCCUUCAUCAUCCUUGUAUCCAAUCUUCUCCAGGAUUUCAUGUAUAGCUGUAAGAUCCAUUCUCAAGCAUGCCUC
rnacentral:misc_RNA from 1 species